GAUGAACGCUGGCGGCGUGCUUAACACAUGCAAGUCGAACGAUGACUUUUGUGCUUGCACAAAAUGAUUAGUGGCGAACGGGUGAGUAACACGUGAGUAACCUGCCCUUAACUUCGGGAUAAGCCUGGGAAACUGGGUCUAAUACCGGAUACGACCUCCUGACGCAUGUCAUGGGGGUGGAAAGCUUGAUGCGGUUUUGGAUGGACUCGCGGCCUAUCAGCUAGUUGGUUGGGGUAAUGGCCCACCAAGGCGACGACGGGUAGCCGGCCUGAGAGGGUGACCGGCCACACUGGGACUGAGACACGGCCCAGACUCCUACGGGAGGCAGCAGUGGGGAAUAUUGCACAAUGGGCGAAAGCCUGAUGCAGCGACGCCGCGUGAGGGACGAAGGCCUUCGGGUUGUAAACCUCUUUCAGCAGGGAAGAAGCGAAAGUGACGGUACCUGCAGAAGAAGCGCCGGCUAACUACGUGCCAGCAGCCGCGGUAAUACGUAGGGCGCAAGCGUUAUCCGGAAUUAUUGGGCGUAAAGAGCUCGUAGGCGGUUUGUCGCGUCUGCUGUGAAAGCCCGGGGCUCAACCCCGGGUCUGCAGUGGGUACGGGCAGACUAGAGUGCAGUAGGGGAGACUGGAAUUCCUGGUGUAGCGGUGAAAUGCGCAGAUAUCAGGAGGAACACCGAUGGCGAAGGCAGGUCUCUGGGCUGUAACUGACGCUGAGGAGCGAAAGCAUGGGGAGCGAACAGGAUUAGAUACCCUGGUAGUCCAUGCCGUAAACGUUGGGCACUAGGUGUGGGGGACAUUCCACGUUUUCC
rnacentral:rRNA from 1 species